rnacentral:tRNA from 1 species
GGUCCGUUGGUCAAGGGGUUAAGACACCGCCUUUUCACGGCGGUAACACACCGCCUUUUCACGGCGGUAACACGGGUUCGAAUCCCGUACGGACUA